rnacentral:misc_RNA from 1 species
AUGUUACUCGACCUUCCCCCUUUUGUUGGGGCGGCUCGGAAUUGGAUGCUGCUGCACGACGUUGCGGCUCGUCUUGAAACGCAUAUAGCUGGUCCCUGUCGAGGCACGAGUGGUGUGGUAAUGUUGCCUUUAAGCGCCGACGCCUUUCGAUGUGGGGGGUGGCUUUCAUGCGCAUAUAUGCGCCUAUAUCUAUGUC